rnacentral:rRNA from 1 species
AGAGUUUGAUCAUGGCUCAGGAUGAACGCUAGCGGCAGGCUUAAUACAUGCAAGUCGAGGGGCAGCGGGGGUAGCAAUACUCGCCGGCGACCGGCAAACGGGUGCGGAACACGUACGCAACCUUCCCAAAACUGGUGAAUAGCCCUCCGAAAGGAGGAUUAAUACACCGUAACAUAAUUUGAUGGCAUCAUUAGAUUAUUAUAGCUCCGGCGGUUUUGGAUGGGCGUGCGCCUGAUUAGGUAGUUGGUAGGGUAACGGCCUACCAAGUCAACGAUCAGUAACUGGUGUGAGAGCACGACCAGUCACACGGGCACUGAGACACGGGCCCGACUCCUACGGGAGGCAGCAGUAAGGAAUAUUGGUCAAUGGACGCAAGUCUGAACCAGCCAUGCCGCGUGCAGGAUGAAGGCCCUCUGGGUUGUAAACUGCUUUUAUGGGGGACGAAAAAAGGGGAUUCUUCCUCACUUGACGGUACCCUAGGAAUAAGCACCGGCUAACUCCGUGCCAGCAGCCGCGGUAAUAC